UGAUUUUUUUUUUUCUGGUUGGGAAUUAUAGAUGACUAUUGCUUGUGUGAUAUAAGAUAGAUUUGUGUAUUCUAGUGCUACAUGAGCUAGUCUUUUCUGGUUUGGUUUUUAUGGAUGAGUAUUUUAUGUGUGCUAUAAGACAGAUUUGUGUGUUGUUGUACUAUAGCUAACGAAAAUGCUUUCUGUAUUAUGUCGGAUGCCUACAUAAGAAAUUUAUCAGUGUUUUUGUUAUUUGUGAUCGUUGAGAGUCUGAUGUUUAUCUAGGUUCUUUACAAAGAGUUUGCUUCCUUUAUUCAACGUAAACUGGCGAGACUGGACCAAUAUAACCAAACAUAUUCAAUGGAGUAAAAUGAGGGGUAGCCAGAUACAUAAUGUUAGUGAUAAGUUUACAUUGUAAAUGAAUUCCUUGAGUUUAUUUGUCUGGAGCUUUUUGCUAGUGUUGAAUAUAGCGCUAAGGUCAAUGAAUUAGAAUGAAUUUAAAAGUCAAAAUUAGCCAUUAGUUGCUUCAAAAAUUUUAGAUGAUCAAACACUUUGAUUUUGCUGCUAGUCAUAUACAGGUAACUAAAAUAACUCUUUAUCUUUAAUUGUGGUUUGUUGAUAAGGACCUCAAUAUCGUAUAAACCAUAGUUACAACUUUCAACAUCUUGUUCUGUUGAGUAGGGAAAGGCAUGGCUCAUAUUAAAAUCACAGCACCUGUAAAAUAUUAGAUAAUAAUAACAUGAACUCUGUAUGUACUUAGUUCACUGAUUAAUUGAAUGGUCUGAAUGAUUCUUUAGAAAGAUUCUAAACCAAAUGAUGAGUGCCAUGAAGAUUGGUGGGAACCAUUCAUAUGUACUAUAGUAUAUCCUGAUCAAGUGCAAGAUAAUUUAGUUUUGCAAGCUUGGUGAUGGCUUUUAUAUGGUAAUGGAUUCUGGUAGAACAAAGCAUGCUUGUUUGGUGUGUAUGUGGCUGGUUUGAUGAUGCUUUUCGUGAGGUCAACUCAUUGUUGAGGACUACUUGUUGAUAAAAUGCUUGUUUGGUUCAAGAAUUGAUGCUGCAGAGAGUUAUAUGUGCACUUUUGAUGUUUGCAGGACAUCACCUGAGGAUAUAAA
rnacentral:misc_RNA from 1 species